rnacentral:rRNA from 1 species
CCUACGGGUGGCAGCAGUGGGGAAUAUUGCGCAAUGGGCGAAAGCCUGACGCAGCGACGCCGCGUGAGGGAUGAAGGUCUUCGGAUCGUAAACCUCUGUCAGCAGGGAAGAACAGUCACUGUGCUAAUCAGCAGUGAAUUGACGGUACCUGCAAAGGAAGCACCGGCUAACUCCGUGCCAGCAGCCGCGGUAAUACGGAGGGUGCGAGCGUUAAUCGGUAUUAUUGGGCGUAAAGCGCUCGUAGGCGGUUUGUCAAGUCAAGUGUGAAAUCCCCGCGCUCAACGUGGGAACUGCCUUUGAAACUGGCAAACUGGAGUGUGGGAGAGGAUAGUGGAAGUCGUGGUGUAGGGGUGAAAUCCGUAGAUAUCUGGAGGAACAUCAGUGGCGAAGGCGACUAUCUGGCACAUAACUGACGCUGAGGAGCGAAAGCGUGGGUAGCAAACAGGAUUAGAUACCCUUGUAGUC